UGCUGCAGCCCUUCUUGGGCGUUUCCUCCCUGAACUUCGGGCCGCUUUCGAGCGGCCUUUUUUCCUUGGGGGU
rnacentral:sRNA from 1 species